GACGAACGCUGGCGGCGUGCUUAACACAUGCAAGUCGAACGAAGUGGCGAACGGGUGAGUAACGCGUAAUCAACCUGCCCUUCAGAGGGGGCCAACAGUUGGAAACUACUGCUAAUACCGCAUACUGAAGGAGGGGAUUGCGUCUGAUUAGCUAGUUGGAGGGGUAACGGCCAACCAAGGCGAUGAUCAGUAGCCGGUCUGAGAGGAUGAUCAGUCACACUGGAACUGAGACACGGUCCAGACUCCUACGGGAGGCAGCAGUGGGGAAUAUUGGACAAUGGGCGAAAGCCUGAUCCAGCCAUGCCGCGUGUGUGAAGAAGGUCUUCGGAUUGUAAAGCACUUUAAGUUGGGAGGCGUUACCAACAGAAUAAGCACCGGCUAACUUCGUGCCAGCAGCCGCGGUAAUUC
rnacentral:rRNA from 1 species